AUGACAAAUGGCUACUAAAGAACGUGGACGCAAUGCUAUGUAAAACAGCUUGAGAUAACCAUGGGUAUGAAUAGGCAGAGCUAUUGCACCACCUAGUGGUGUCCAAUGGUAGAACCUUCUAGCAGUGUCCAGUGUUUUAGCACCUCCUCCUCCCCUUGACCUUAAUGUUCUGAAAGACAAGAGCACAGCAACUUCUACCAUCAGUUUCUUCCACCACAAACCAGAUAUGCAGAAUAAACUAAGAGGAGCAGGCAGUGUGAAUAUGCAAAGUAUCAUUAAGCACUCCAGUUACGUAUAAGUAAUCUUCCUUUUUUCAACUGGCUCUGUAUUUAGGAUGUAAAAUCCUGGUUAGGUGGUUAAUGGGCUAAACAAAGUGUUUAACUGGUUAACUGUGGGGAGGCUGUCCCCCAUCUGUGACGUGGUUAGCCCAGCCAAGUUGGAGCAACCCUCAACCAAUGGCAGGGAUGUGGGCAGGGGGCUGCUCUGGCCAGAUCAGGUCAAGCCCACUGCACCACACUGUAUGCUGAGGAGCUGCUCCAGCUGGAGCAGCCCUCCCCCUGCCCCUGAGUUAACAGGUUAUCAGUAUGCUUACCUGGCUAAGAGGCAUGAUUACCAGUUAACUCUUUACAUCCCUACUCUGAAUAUUCCAAUUUAUGGGAUAGAUUGAUAGGCAGGGCUGAAAAUAACGUGGAGACAGGAACAGUGUCCUUAUAAAAUGGCAACUGAAGCACUGCUCGACCAAAUCUACCAUCAGUUUGGGAAACAAAAUCAAGAGCAUAAUGCUUAGUGUAAGUGUAUACAAAAUUCCAGAUCAGUCCUGAAGAUAGCAGAAGCAAACAAAAGCAGCUGUCACAGCUCUGGCAGAAUGUGAUUGUAUGUUUUUUAAUGCCUCUAUAGUCUAGGAAGAUGACACAACCCAUGUGAUUCUCAGUGUACGAUACAAAAAAACAUUUUAAAUCAGUUUAAAUAAUAUGCAAGAGUUCUUACAUCCAAAGUAUAUAAAACAGAUUCCCCCUUAUUCAUAUGUGGCUUUGGGGGGAAAUGCCUGCAUAUUAAUUAAUUGACAGGACAGCAAUACUAACUACUGUUAAUGAUUAGUUAUUGUUAAACUAACAAAGCAAGGGAUAAAUGACACUUGCAAUGCAAGAGAGCCAAAGUUCCAAAAGUUGUCUUUGUUGGUAAGAAGGAAUUGAGGGACAGUUGGAUUGGCAGGGUCACAUGUAGGGGGUCACACCACUGCCUCUCGAGGAGGCUCCAUGGCUGACCCUAUGGGUAGCAGCUAGGGUAAACAUUUUCUGGCAGCUGUGCACACCUCAUCUGGAAUACAUAUGAGCAAACAUUCGAAGAAGAAAAAAAAAAAAGUAGUUCUUAUGCGUGAACUGAUUUUUGCCAAAAGUGGCACCUGACUUUUCAGUCAAUCAAUUAUUUGACAGGAUGGACAUUAAAUUAUUUGUGCUAGAUGGACCUUUGGUCUGACCCCGUAUGGCUGUUUGACUGUACCUAUGUCAUACCCAUCCUCAUUCUCUACUGUCAGAGUAGUCAACAACAUGGAACUGCAGGGCAGUUGGGUCGUCAGGAUCAUAUAUUGGGCACCGCACUGGCGCCACUCCAGGGAGCUCCACAGCCAACCAAGAGGCAGCUAGCAUAAAAGCUUUCUGGCGGCCAGGCAGGCAGCACACAUGCACCUCAACUGGAAUAGAACUGAGCAGUGCAUCUCAAACAACGGUAACAAAGGUAACCAUUUAAUCUUUAUGAAAACAAGUACACGAAUCAGCCAUCAAGGCAUUCAAUUCACUCACCCUUCUAGCUGACAUUGAUGAUAACAAAUGAGCUCUUAACAGAUAAAUAAUAUAAUGAACACUCAACUAAAGAUUUAUAGGAUGACUUUUUAAGUGUACCCAAGACCAAACUGAAAUUUCAAGAUGGAACACGUUGGAGGGACACGUUAUGUGAACAGAGGCCUGCAAAUCCUCAGUGGGUCUCUGCGUCCGCGAAUGUGGAUGCGGAUAUCUGCAGCUCAUUUUUGCGGAUACUGAUAUGGAUA